rnacentral:lncRNA from 1 species
AUUUGCGCCUUUGCCUUACUUGCACACGCAAGCUGAUCAGAAGGAGGGUAGAAAUGAACGAAAUCCAUGACCACGCGUAUGUAUACAAAGGCUACGAGGCGUUCUGGCGCAUGUUCGAGUUAUCAAACAACUUGGAAGCUUCGUUGCAAAAUGGUAGAGAGCAUGGAUUUCCCUAUCUCAUUAGGUGUGACCUCUGCGAUCCACAAGCGCAAGGCCAAAAGCCAAUAACUUUUCUUCGCCAGGUUGUCAGCGUGUGCGUACAUGCAGGAGUUGCUGAAAACAUGCCAAAGGACGUCGUUGAGCGGGCGCGAGAAAUACUCGAUAAGUGCCCAGGUCGAUCU